UUAAGCGACUAAGCGUACACGGUGGAUGCCCUGGCAGUCAGAGGCGAUGAAGGACGUGCUAAUCUGCGAAAAGCGUCGGUAAGGUGAUAUGAACCGUUAUAACCGGCGAUGUCCGAAUGGGGAAACCCAGUGCAAUUCGUUGCACUAUCGUUAACUGAAUACAUAGGUUAACGAGGCGAACCGGGGGAACUGAAACAUCUAAGUACCCCGAGGAAAAGAAAUCAACCGAGAUUCCCCCAGUAGCGGCGAGCGAACGGGGAGCAGCCCAGAGUCUGAAUCAGCUUGUGUGUUAGUGGAACGGUCUGGAAAGUCCGACGGUACAGGGUGAUAGUCCCGUACACCAAAAUGCACAGGCUGUGAACUCGAAGAGUAGGGCGGGACACGUGGUAUCCUGUCUGAAUAUGGGGGGACCAUCCUCCAAGGCUAAAUACUCCUGACUGACCGAUAGUGAACCAGUACCGUGAGGGAAAGGCGAAAAGAACCCCGGCGAGGGGAGUGAAAAAGAACCUGAAACCGUGUACGUACAAGCAGUGGGAGCACCUUCGGGUGUGACUGCGUACCUUUUGUAUAAUGGGUCAGCGACUUAUAUUCUGUAGCAAGGUUAACCGUAUAGGGGAGCCGCAGGGAAACCGAGUCUUAACUGGGCGUUAAGUUGCAGGGUAUAGACCCGAAACCCGGUGAUCUAGCCAUGGGCAGGUUGAAGGUUGGGUAACACUAACUGGAGGACCGAACCGACUAAUGUUGAAAAAUUAGCGGAUGACUUGUGGCUGGGGGUGAAAGGCCAAUCAAACCGGGAGAUAGCUGGUUCUCCCCGAAAGCUAUUUAGGUAGCGCCUCGUGAAUUCAUCUUCGGGGGUAGAGCACUGUUUCGGCUAGGGGGUCAUCCCGACUUACCAACCCGAUGCAAACUACGAAUACCGAAGAAUGUUAUCACGGGAGACACACGGCGGGUGCUAACGUCCGUCGUGAAGAGGGAAACAACCCAGACCGCCAGCUAAGGUCCCAAAGUCAUGGUUAAGUGGGAAACGAUGUGGGAAGGCACAGACAGCCAGGAUGUUGGCUUAGAAGCAGCCAUCAUUUAAAGAAAGCGUAAUAGCUCACUGGUCGAGUCGGCCUGCGCGGAAGAUGUAACGGGGCUAAACCAUGCACCGAAGCUGCGGCAGCGACACUAUGUGUUGUUGGGUAGGGGAGCGUUCUGUAAGCCUGCGAAGGUGUGCUGUGAGGCAUGCUGGAGGUAUCAGAAGUGCGAAUGCUGACAUAAGUAACGAUAAAGCGGGUGAAAAGCCCGCUCGCCGGAAGACCAAGGGUUCCUGUCCAACGUUAAUCGGGGCAGGGUGAGUCGACCCCUAAGGCGAGGCCGAAAGGCGUAGUCGAUGGGAAACAGGUUAAUAUUCCUGUACUUGGUGUUACUGCGAAGGGGGGACGGAGAAGGCUAUGUUAGCCGGGCGACGGUUGUCCCGGUUUAAGCAUGUAGGCUGAUUGUCCAGGCAAAUCCGGAUAAUCAAGGCUGAGGUGUGAUGACGAGGCACUACGGUGCUGAAGUAACAAAUGCCCUGCUUCCAGGAAAAGCCUCUAAGCAUCAGGUAACAUCAAAUCGUACCCCAAACCGACACAGGUGGUCAGGUAGAGAAUACCAAGGCGCUUGAGAGAACUCGGGUGAAGGAACUAGGCAAAAUGGUGCCGUAACUUCGGGAGAAGGCACGCUGGUGUGUAGGUGAAGUCCCUGCGGAUGGAGCUGAGACCAGUCGAAGAUACCAGCUGGCUGCAACUGUUUAUUAAAAACACAGCACUGUGCAAACACGAAAGUGGACGUAUACGGUGUGACGCCUGCCCGGUGCCGGAAGGUUAAUUGAUGGGGUUAUCCGUAAGGAGAAGCUCUUGAUCGAAGCCCCGGUAAACGGCGGCCGUAACUAUAACGGUCCUAAGGUAGCGAAAUUCCUUGUCGGGUAAGUUCCGACCUGCACGAAUGGCGUAAUGAUGGCCAGGCUGUCUCCACCCGAGACUCAGUGAAAUUGAACUCGCUGUGAAGAUGCAGUGUACCCGCGGCAAGACGGAAAGACCCCGUGAACCUUUACUAUAGCUUGACACUGAACAUUGAGCCUUGAUGUGUAGGAUAGGUGGGAGGCUUUGAAGCGUGGACGCCAGUCUGCGUGGAGCCAACCUUGAAAUACCACCCUUUAAUGUUUGAUGUUCUAACGUUGGCCCCUUACCGGGGUUGCGGACAGUGUCUGGUGGGUAGUUUGACUGGGGCGGUCUCCUCCCAAAGCGUAACGGAGGAGCACGAAGGUUAGCUAAUCCUGGUCGGACAUCAGGAGGUUAGUGCAAUGGCAUAAGCUAGCUUGACUGCGAGCGUGACGGCGCGAGCAGGUGCGAAAGCAGGUCAUAGUGAUCCGGUGGUUCUGAAUGGAAGGGCCAUCGCUCAACGGAUAAAAGGUACUCCGGGGAUAACAGGCUGAUACCGCCCAAGAGUUCAUAUCGACGGCGGUGUUUGGCACCUCGAUGUCGGCUCAUCACAUCCUGGGGCUGAAGUAGGUCCCAAGGGUAUGGCUGUUCGCCAUUUAAAGUGGUACGCGAGCUGGGUUUAGAACGUCGUGAGACAGUUCGGUCCCUAUCUGCCGUGGGCGCUGGAGAAUUGAGGGGGGCUGCUCCUAGUACGAGAGGACCGGAGUGGACGCAUCACUGGUGUUCGGGUUGUCAUGCCAAUGGCACUGCCCGGUAGCUAAAUGCGGAAGAGAUAAGUGCUGAAAGCAUCUAAGCACGAAACUUGCCCCGAGAUGAGUUCUCCCUGAGACUUUAAGUCUCCUGAAGGAACGUUAAAGACGAUGACGUUGAUAGGCCGGGUGUGUAAGCGCAGCGAUGCGUUGAGCUAACCGGUACUAAUGAACCGUGAGGCUUAACCUU
rnacentral:rRNA from 3 species